AGCGAACGCUGGCGGCAGGCCUAACACAUGCAAGUCGAACGAAGCCUUCGGGCUUAGUGGCGGACGGAUGAGUAACACGUGGGAACGUACCUUUUGGUUCGGAAUAACGCAGAGAAAUUUGCGCUAAUACCGAAUGAGCCCUUAGGGGGAAAGAUUUAUCGCCGAAAGAUCGGCACGCGUUGGAUUAGGUAGUUGGUGUGGUAAAGGCGCACCAAGCCUACGAUCCAUAGCUGGUCUGAGAGGAUGAUCAGCCACACUGGGACUGAGAUCCGGACCAGACUCCUACGGGAGGCAGCAGUGGGGAAUCUUGCGCAAUGGGCGAAAGCCUGACGCAGCCAUGCCGCGUGAAUGAUGAAGGUCUUAGGAUUGUAAAAUUCUUUUACCAGGGACGAUAAUGACGGUACCUGGAGAAAAAGCCCCGGUUAACUUCGUGCCAGCCGCCGCCGUAACAC
rnacentral:rRNA from 1 species